GGUUACGGCCAUACCAGCCUGGGUACGCCCGAUCUCGUCUGAUCUCGGAAGCUAAGGCAGUGUCGGGCCUGGUUAGUACUUGGAUGGAGACCGCCUGGGAAUACCAGGUGCUGUAAGCU
rnacentral:rRNA from 1 species